rnacentral:rRNA from 1 species
GACUAACGCUGGCGGCGUGCCUAAUACAUGCAAGUCGAACGCAGUGGGGACGGGUGAGUAACACGUGGGUAACCUCCCAUCAGAGGGGAUAACACUUGGAAACAGGUGCUAAACCGAUAUUGAUUGAUGGACCCGCGGUGCAUUAGCUAGUUGGUAAGGUAACGGCGCACCAAGGCCACGAUGCAUACCGCACCUGAGAGGGUGAUCGGCAACACUGGGACUGAGACACGGCCCAGACUCCUACUGUAGGCAGCAGUAGGGAAUCUUCGGCAAUGGACGAAAGUCUGACCGAGCAACGCCGCGUGAGUGAAGACGGUGUUCGGAUCGUAAAACUCUGUUGUUAGAGAAGCGGUAUCUAACCAGAAAGCCACGGCUAACUACGUGCCAGCAGCCGCGGUAAUAC